UCUCAAAUACCCAACUGGGAGAUUUUCUGAUGGGCGUUUGAUUUCGGAUUUCAUAGCUGAGCGUGCAGGAUUACCAUUUAUACCAACAUUUUUGCCAUCCUACAACGAUAAAUUUGUUUAUGGGGUGAACUUUGCAUCCGCAGGAGGUGGUGCUCUAGUUGAAACUUAUCGAGGCUAUGUGAUAGACCUUCAAACUCAGCUGAGUUACUUCAGAUUGCGGAGAAGCAGUUGAAGCAAAAA